AUUGAACGCUGGCGGCAGGCCUAACACAUGCAAGUCGAACGGUAGCACAGAGAGCUUGCUCUUGGGUGACGAGUGGCGGACGGGUGAGUAAUGUCUGGGAAACUGCCCGAUGGAGGGGGAUAACUACUGGAAACGGUAGCUAAUACCGCAUAACGUCUUCGGACCAAAGUGGGGGACCUUCGGGCCUCACACCAUCGGAUGGGCCCAGAUGGGAUUAGCUAGUAGGUGGGGUAAAGGCUCACCUAGGCGACGAUCCCUAGCUGGUCUGAGAGGAUGACAAGCCACACUGGAACUGAGACACGGUCCAGACUCCUACGGGAGGCAGCAGUGGGGAAUAUUGCACAAUGGGCGCAAGCCUGAUGCAGCCAUGCCGCGUGUAUGAAGAAGGCCUUCGGGUUGUAAAGUACUUUCAGCGGGGAGGAAGGCGUUAAGGUUAAUAACCUUGGCGAUUGACGUUACCCGCAGAAGAAGCACCGGCUAACUCCGUGCCAGCAGCCGCCGUAA
rnacentral:rRNA from 1 species